rnacentral:rRNA from 1 species
UACGAAGGGGGCUAGCGUUGCUCGGAAUCACUGGGCGUAAAGGGUGCGUAGGCGGGUCUUUUAAGUCAGGGGUGAAAUCCUGGAGCUCAACUCCAGAACUGCCUUUGAUACUGAGGAUCUUGAGUUCGGGAGAGGUGAGUGGAACUGCGAGUGUAGAGGUGAAAUUCGUAGAUAUUCGCAAGAACACCAGUGGCGAAGGCGGCUCACUGGCCCGAUACUGACGC